rnacentral:rRNA from 1 species
CAAUAGCGUAUAUUAAAGUUGUUGCAGUUAAAAGCUCGUAGUCGGAUUUCGGGUCGGGCCGAGCGGUCUGCCGAUGGGUAUGCACUGGCUGGUCUCAACUUCCUGUAGAGGACGCGCUCUGGGUUAACGCUCGGACGCGGAGUCUACGUGGUUACUUUGAAAAAUUAGAGUGUUCAAAGCGGGCUUACGCUUGAAUAUUUCAGCAUGGAAUAACACUAUAGGACUCCUGUCCUAUUUCGUUGGUCUCGGGACGGGAGUAAUGAUUAAGAGGAACAGUUGGGGGCGAUUCGUAUUUCAUUGUCAGAGGUGAAAUUCUCAGACCAAUGGAAGACGAACCACUGCGAAAGCAUUUGCCAGGGAUGUUUUCACUGAUCAAGAACGAAAGUUAGGGGAUCGAAGACGAUCAGAU